UGGGGAAUAUUGCACAAUGGGCGCAAGCCUGAUGCAGCCAUGCCGCGUGUGUGAAGAAGGCCUUCGGGUUGUAAAGCACUUUCAGCGAGGAGGAAGGUGGUGAACUUAAUACGUUCAUCAAUUGACGUUACUCGCAGAAGAAGCACCGGCUAACUCCGUGCCAGCAGCCGCGGUAAUACGGAGGGUGCAAGCGUUAAUCGGAAUUACUGGGCGUAAAGCGCACGCAGGCGGUUUGUUAAGUCAGAUGUGAAAUCCCCCGGGCUCAACCUGGGAACUGCAUUUGAAACUGGCAAGCUAGAGUCUCGUAGAGGGGGGCUAGAAUUCCAGGUGUAGCGGUGAAAUGCGUAGAGAUCUGGAGGAAUACCGGUGGCGAAGGCGGCCCCCUGGACGAAGACUGACGCUCAGGUGCG
rnacentral:rRNA from 1 species